rnacentral:tRNA from 1 species
GCCAGUGUGGCAUAAUGGUUUGAGUGUUGAACUAUGACUCUAGAGGCCAGGGUUCAAUUCCCAGCUUGGUCA